rnacentral:rRNA from 1 species
UACGUAGGGUGCAAGCGUUAAUCGGAAUUAUUGGGCGUAAAGCGUGCGUAGGCGGCUUUGCAAGACAGAUGUGAAAUCCCCGGGCUUAACCUGGGAACUGCAUUUGUGACUGCAUGGCUGGAGUGCGGCAGAGGGGGAUGGAAUUCCGCGUGUAGCAGUGAAAUGCGUAGAUAUGCGGAGGAACACCGAUGGCGAAGGCAAUCCCCUGGGCCUGCACUGACGCUCAUGCACGAAAGCGUGGGGAGCAAACAGG